UGUUGAGCCACUGGAGUAUUUAUGUUUCGUUGCAAGUUUCAAGGUAAUUACCGAGUAAUAUAAAAAGAAAAAAAAUCCCGGGAGGCCGGGACUGCCUGCUGGAAAAGAGAUCUCGCCGGAAGACGCCGCUCCCGCCGUAAUCCCCCAAAUCCCCCGGAGCAGGGCAAUUUGUGGGUGGGGCAAGCCGAGCCACAAAUGUCCGGAGAGGAAGCCUAGGACAAGGGGAAGAACGAACUCCGCGACGAACCCACCACUGCCGGCGGCCGAUGAGUGCAAGGAGGAGGAAAUCAUCGAGGGGCUUCCUGAGCCGUUCAGUAGGGACGAGCUCCUUGACCUCCUGGUCCAGGUCUGCCUCCGAGAUGCCACCCUGCUCUCCCGCCUCGCCACCUCGGCGACCUCCGACGCCGCGCAUCACCUCCGCCGCGCUAGCCGCCCCCUUCGUCCCCUUUGGGGUCCUCGAUGGGUGCCACGCCGUCGCUGAACGCGCCACCGGCCGCUGCCGCGGCUAUGGCUUCAUCAUCCUCCGCCGAUGCUCAUCCCGCCGCCGCGCCCUCGCGGACUCCUCCAAGCGCGUCGGGGGCCGCCCCGUUGUCUGCCAGUUCGCCUCGGUCGGUCCCCCGGAGGCACGGCCCCCGGUUGUGCCUUCUUCGUUGGGUUGGAACACGUCAGAUAAACAUUCCAGAGUAGCCGUCUGCCUUUCGUAGGCCCGUUGACAUUGACAUGCCGGGAUGGUCAGGGGUCAAUGAGACAAGGCUUGACACAAUGUUACCUUGGACAAUAGGUAAACAGAACAUGAUCUCUUGCUAGCCAAGCGACGGAACAAGGUCGCACUGAGUUUAGCAGGCAUCAAUUGCACAUUUGCAUAGAACAGGGUAGAUGGAUGAAGAGACCAGAUUGAGGAAUCCACAGCAAAAUUCAGGGCUAAUAUUACUAUUUGCUGCCAGAAGGGGAAGCAACCUGUAAUUUCUGUUAAUUGAAUUUGCUUCUCCUUGAUGUAAUUACGGUUUACUUUAUGGUCAACAAGCUACACAUUUUCUUAUUUGAAUCUCCUCUAUGUUCUACUCCCUCCUUCCCAAAUUAGUUGUCUUAGAUUUGUCUAGAUACGGAUGUACCUAACACUAGUACAUCUAAUUUGGGACGGAGGUAAUACAUUGCAAGGCUCUAAGAAAUUCAGCUACAUGUAUAACCUGCUGCGAUUUGUAUGGUUGUAGCUAGCCACAUCUAUUACCUUCUGCGAUUUAUGUGCCUGGGCUGAGCACCCCAUCCCCCCUGCUCUGGGCUUCAUGCUCGCGCCUUCUAGUGCAUGUGUUGCAUGAUGUCCUGCAUCACUUUGUAAUGUUCUCACUCCUAUCAAUGAAAAGAUACACAAGCUCUUGCGUAUUUGUGAAAAAAGUAGGUAGCUAUAUGUAUAACCUGCUGUGCUUUGUACGGCUGUAUUCCAUUGGAAUUUUUUCUACAGGGUUUCUGUACUCAAUUUCAAAGGAAAAAUCAUUGACUGAAAUUUCUAGGAAUGGUUUCAAUGAUUUUUCUAUGGGGCGAUCAGACAUAGUUUUUUGUGGAGAUUCAAGAUUACAUGAUAAUUUUCUCAUUUCUAUGCUUUUGAUGUGAAUCAAAGAGGCCUUUUUUUCGAGAAAACGCAAAGGAUCUUUGCGUUUUAUUGCAUUGAGAAGAUGGGAACGUACAAUCCUCCUAGGAGGUGAGAGUUACAAGGGCCAUGCACCCGAUCAAUGGACAUCCCAGGAGGCGGGCAGAACAACCCUUAGCCCCUGUGCCCCCAGCUUGUGCCCAGCAUUUGGCCUGACUUAGCAAUUUUGAUCAUAAGGGCUAAAGAAAUGAAAGCUAGCACUUCCACAGUUUCACUCCCUAAGCACCGAUUAGAUGGUUAGGUCAUGUUUUCUUUCAGUCCCUUUAUUAAGGUUUCUCGUACAUAUUUAUUGUGUUUGAAUACAUUUCUAGCUGGUCACAGGACAUGCCCGCCAUGGAGGUUGUGCUGCAGGUCUGCAACAAUGAAGGCAAGAAGAGCGUGCACCAAACAUUGAAGACAUGAUUGACAUGCAGCAACGGCCAUAUGUUCUUCCUCACCUCCUCGUCUGGGGUAAGCCAUUUCUCUGUGCACCUCACCGCCCUUGUAGACUGUAGAAGGUGCUCAAUGUAAUGCAAGAGUAAUAUAUAGUUGGAAUUGCGUUGUUCAGUGUUUGCCCGUGCAAGCUCCAUGUUGAGUCCUUGCUCUCCUGUACAGUUUCAGUGGGGUUCAGGCGGCUUGCCGGGCUGUGGCUCUGCCAGACCGCCACUGCCACUGACCGACUCUGACAAGCAUUUUAUGCCUAUGCUGUGGGAAGUGUGAUGCCAGUUCUGGUAUAACAGAGAAGCUGCCACAAUAUGGAUGCACCUUGAAAAUUGGAAACAGAUAGCUCUCCUUUAUCUUAUCAUGUCAUGGCAAAAGCAGAUGCAUUUUGUGUAGGACUUCAUUCAAAGCCGGGCUUUAGCUGUUCAGAUGGUCAUAUUCUCUGUUGUCAUUCAGGUACCUGAUUCCCUUCCUGCUCCUGCUAAGCCUGUCUAUCAAAGGCAGGCAGGAAAAGUGAACACUAAUUUGGUUUUCUUGAUCAGUUCCGGAGCAUAAUCUGACCAGGAUUGCACUAACAUGCCAGGGCUAUUUGGAUUUAUGCCUUUAAUGAUCUGCUUCUACGCAGAUUAUCUUUGCUGGUGUUGGUGGAAUCUGAGAGCAUGACUGGUGGAUGGGGGAGAGGGUUCUGAAUUCUGAUUCUCAGUGAGGUCAUCAGCAUAAAUCCUCAUUGGAUUAAUCAUUGGGGUCAGAGUUGGAAUGCACCAGUUGUCAUCUAAUGUAUCGUCUGCCACCGCAUCCGGUCUCCCUUUGGCAGUUGAAGAAUACUGCAGCCACAGGUGGGCCUAGACUGUAAAGUGCUGAGAAGUCCCUUGAGUUGAAAUUUGGUCUCCAUCCUGGUGCAUAAAUUGUCUGCUGGACAGAUUGGCGGAAAAUCACAAAGACAAAGCGAUGUAUUCCUGCUGUUGGCUUUGGACUUUCGUAGUUGACUAUCUCGUUUCCUGAAAUGUAUUUUUUAUAACUUUUCAGAGCAAGUUAUGCAAUAUUGUGCCUUGGCUUACAAACAUUUUGUUGGGUUCAGUGUAGAAUCUCAAUGGUGUUACAAGGUUCAAAUUCACCUUUAUCUGCCCAAAUGAUAUAUACUGCAGACUGGCUGCCAGAUUAUACAAACUUAAGCCAGUCAUUUUAAUAAAUCUCUAGAAUUAAUAAAUGUGGAAGUCAGAAAUAUAUGCUACCUAUUGUGUUAGAUUGCUAGUCUAUGGUGAGUAAUAUAGUUAUAUUUUGCACACCAUUUCAAUAGUGAUUAACUGUCGAUCUUUACUCUACGGGUAAGUAGUAUUUUCAUUUUAUUUUGUUCUUUGUCAAUACAAAAUAGGUGUGGACAUCAUCAGGACUCCCGGAAGGUAGGUAUAUUAUAAAUGUCUAUUCAGUACUUCGAAACAUUUAAAUCGUGGAAACAAUAUGCAAAAGGAAGGGAAUAACCCACCAUAGCUUGCAUCUGUUGAUUCUGGAAUGUCUGUCACCAACCUGUGUGAAAUGCUCAGAACUGUAAGAAACAGUUUAUGAUUUGAUAUUUAGAAUCGUUCAUUGCAAGUGUUUCAGGUCUUACCAAUGAAGAUACUCUCUUUUGGUUGGAUUGCUUGGACUUGGUGAGUCAGGAUCCACCAUCACCUAUUGCCAGUAGUCCUCCUCGAGUCUUGCUUAUGGAUCAAACACUAGAAACAGACUGAAUGCCUCUCUCCUCAAAGCUGUUGGAAAGAGCUAAAGUCAUGUGUUGGCAGCGCAGCACUUUUAAGAUCUCUUCUGAUUUACCAACGUAGAUUAUGGACAAAGGUUUCAGCUUCGCAAGUUCGAACUGUUUAUGAAUAAAAAAUCAUAAGCAAUUUCCAAAAGCUAGAAAGAGAAGCCUUAUUAUAUUUGAUUAGAGAAGUACCACCGCACCUGAGUUCAAAGGUAAUAAAUUUCAAUUGUGCAUGGUGUUAUUUCUCAGGCCUAAAUUUCAAUUGAGUGCGUCCAAACAAAGAAUGGCAAAGAGUUUAGUUAUAAGAUGAUGAACCUUAAAGUUGAUGGAAUAUGUGGAUUGCCUUUUGGUUUGUUUUGUGGCUACACGGUCUUGAUCCUUGACCAAAGAAUAAAGCAGUGCCGCCCUUCACGUGGGCAUAUCCCAUUGGUCCAGGAACCUGAAUAGUGCAUCGAACUCGGCGGAGAAUGAUGGACAUCACAUGGGCUACCCAAGUACAGACAUGGACAUUUGACAGAGAUACUUCCAGCUUGGAAUUACAUGAAACAGACAUCGAUAUGGAGGGGAAAACUUCCAGAAAAGGAAAAAUAAUAAUCCUGUGAGGUUUUGGAUUUUGGGAAAAAUAUGGAUACUGCUUGACUGCUGCAUUCUUCCAUUGGUGGCUGCCGAAAAGUUGGAUUCUGCUGCCUUCUGGCUCUGUGCUCUCAUAGAGAAAAGCCAUAGGCAAUCAUCAGUUGAUCACACCGUCUAUGAAUACUACGUGAAGAUAGGCAGGGACUCUGGGCCUCUGGCGUGGCAAAUCUGUUUACUAUGUUGUGAGAAAUUGGACAUGGCACACGAGUAACUGAUCAAGGCAGCGAGACGACGACUAAGAUUAUUUGGUGGCAAUAUUGGUAAUGUACUACAGCAGCACACAUGCGUCAUCUACCACUGCCACUGCUUAGCUAUUUUUUUCGUUGGCUCUAGGGUAGUGCCAGCAAUUUUGUUUUCUCUUGAUGGUUUCGUAGGCUGCCAUGCCUUGAGAGUUGAACCGAUCACGCAGAAUCUGGGCAUGUACUGGGGGAAUCCUUCCGGAAACAACUAGCACCGCACUUGAAGAGUUAAGCUACUCGGAGACUAUAGCUGCCAGGGGCAAAGAGAGAGAGGUACGGGGUCGCCUAUACCUCCCUCGGGUGAUUGUUUUUAAAUUUUAAAUCAUAUACAAGUACUCCCUCCGCCCGAAAAUACUUGUCGGAGAAAUGAAUGUAUCUAGAUGUAUUUUAAUUCUAGAUACAUCCGUUUUAUAAUCCAUUUAUGCGACAAGUAAUUUCGGACGGAGGGAGGAGUAGAUUUGUUAGCUAUCCUCUUUAUUCUUUCUCAGCCAUCUUCUGCCUCAAGCCUCUCAGUCUAAGGCUGGCCUCUGUCUUGCGCUGGGGCCUGUGGGCCGUCAUUUCUUGCCGCGGAGGCCACACCGGCGCUUCUGCCUUGUACUCCCUCUGUCUGUAAAGAAGUAUAAGAUUGUCUAGAUCACUACUUCCUCCGUCCCAUAAUAUAAGAGCAUUUUUUAUACUACACUAGUGUCAAAUAUGCUCUUAUAUUAUGGGACGGGAAAGUAUAUUAUAGUAGUAUUUCUUUACAGAGCGAGUAGGUGAGUUCACCAGGGUUUGAAGUUGAAGACGAGUGUGGAAAACAAGACAGAGGGCUAAACUAGGAAGCUGCUCUGCUGGUGCUGGGUAUAUCUACGGAUUGCGGCAUCGGUACAUGUGUUGCAAGUGGUGCAUGCAGAGCCGCGCCUGGUCAGAUGAGCGUUUCGAGUGGAGUGCCGCUUGCUUGAUGUGCUUUCUCGGUUGCUCUAGUUGCUCUUAUGGUCUUAUCGGCUUCCUACACAUCUGGAAGGAGAUGGAGGUCAAUGUUAUGGCCCGCACGUAUGCCUAUGCUGGUAAUAGUACGUACUAGUAGAAAUGGGCGCAAAAGCUGCCCUUGUCCUCUCUGGCCUAUUCUGCUGUAGGCCGGUUUGGUUGGAUCUUCUGUCUUUGCAAA